AGUGAACGCUGGCGGUAGGCCUAACACAUGCAAGUCGAACGGCAGCACAGUAAGAGCUUGCUCUUACGGGUGGCGGGUGGCGGACGGGUGAGGAAUACAUCGGACUCUACUUUUUCGUGGGGGAUAACGUAGGGAAACUUACGCUAAUACCGCAUACGACCUACGGGUGAAAGCAGGGGAUCUUCGGACCUUUCGCGAUUGAAUGAGCCGAUGUCGGAUUAGCUAGUUGGCGGGGUAAAGGCCCACCAAGGCGACGAUCCGUAGCUGGUCUGAGAGGAUGAUCAGCCACACUGGAACUGAGACACGGUCCAGACUCCUACGGGAGGCAGCAGUGGGGAAUAUUGGACAAUGGGCGCAAGCCUGAUCCAGCCAUACCGCGUGGGUGAAGAAGGCCUUCGGGUUGUAAAGCCCUUUUGUUGGGAAAGAAAAGCAGCAGGUUAAUACCCCGCUGUUCUGACGGUACCCAAAGAAUAAGCACCGGCUAACUUCGUG
rnacentral:rRNA from 1 species